rnacentral:rRNA from 1 species
CAGGUCGAGGUGUAGCGUAUGAGAGGGGAAGAAAUGGGCUACAUUCGCUACUAAUAGCGAAUUACGAAUGUUGCAUUGAAACAUGCAGCUGAAGGAGGAUUUAGCAGUAAGCAGAAAGCAGAGCGUCCCGCUGAAACUGGCCCUAAAGCGCGCACACACCGCCCGUCACCCUCCCCAAGCUUCCGGCCCUAAUUAACUAAAACCCUACAACUGCAAAGGAGAGGAAAGUCGUAACAUGGUAAGUGUACCGGAAGGUGCGCUUGGAAAAAU